UUUCCGUAGGUGAACCUGCGGAAGGAUCAUUACAAUUUUGGCACACCAAGAUGCCCUCGGGCGUUGCGGUGUUGUCAAUCGAGAUACCAACCCAUGUCUUUUGAGUACCUUCGUUUCCUCGGUGGGUUCGCCCGCCGAUUGGACAAAACUUAAACCCUUUGUAGUUGCAAUCAGCGUCUGAAAAAACUUAAUAGUUACAACUUUCAACAACGGAUCUCUUGGUUCUGGCAUCGAUGAAGAACGCAGC
rnacentral:misc_RNA from 1 species